GUAUUGCGUUAGGGAUAGUAGUGAAAAUCCUUUUUUAAGCGAACGAAGCAACGCGGAAGUGAAACUUAAAAAAGAUUGUAACGCAUAGCCCGACCCUUG
rnacentral:sRNA from 1 species